GACAGAGGAUGCAAGCGUUAUCCGGAAUGAUUGGGCGUAAAGCGUCUGUAGGUGGCUUUUUAAGUCCGCCGUCAAAUCCCAGGGCUCAACCCUGGACAGGCGGUGGAAACUACCAAGCUGGAGUACGGUAGGGGCAGAGGGAAUUUCCGGUGGAGCGGUGAAAUGCGUAGAUAUCGAGAGGAACACCAGUGGCGAAGGCGAGUCCCUGGACAACUCCUGACACUGAGGCACGAAAGCUAGGGGAGCAAACAGG
rnacentral:rRNA from 1 species